UAACAUGUUAAUAUGUGAAGAAUAAAUAUAUUUAAGAAUAAUUAUAUUGCUUGUAUUUUGGUUGCAGUUAAGGAGGACAUUGUAGUGUGUAUUAGCUGUUCAAGUGGACAUGGACAACAGGACAGAUUUGACAUUAUAAUAUGUGUACGUUUUUAGUCCGAUUAAGUAGGUCAGAGAGGUGUGUGCGGUGAAGCACGGCGGUUGGGGUUCCACCUUGGCCUAAUUUUGAGCCUGGAAAAACCCUGCAUCUUACUAUACUUGCUCAGGGACUAUUUCUUGUUCACAAAAACUGAAAACACAAAAAUACAGUAUAUUAUGACAUUCUAGCAUGUAGUGUUACCAAUACCAUGGUUGUUAAUGUUGAUCAAUAAUUACGGAAAUGCCUGGAGCUCCUUACUGUAACCUUUGGCUGCCAUUACAGGCUAGCUUUGUAUUUGCUGUAUAGGAUGGCUUGACACCAUCCUGUGGCCCAACAAGUGUAACUACAGUAACCUUUAACGUGUGUUUAUUUCAUCCCACAGACUAAUCAGAGUGCCCAUAGAAAAUAAGUUCUGGUAUGUGUGAGGUGGUGUGGUAAAUGGCCAAUAUACCACGUCUGAGUGCUGGUGUUAUGUACGACGCAUUGCGGAGGGCCUGGAUACAGCACUUAACUGUGGUAUAUUGGCUGAAAACCACGUGCCUCCAAGAUGAAUACUGUUAUUGAAAAACUCUUCACAGCCAAUCAGCAUGUAGGGUCUCAUACCUCUUGGUUUGUAAUUUCUGAUAUACUACCACAGCUAUCAGACAAUUAGCUCCCAGGUGCCAUUUUUACAUUUUAGUCAUUUAGCUAACGCCCUUUCCUAGAGCGACUUACCACAGUGAGUGCAUACAUUUCUGACCCAAAUUGUAAAUGAACUUGCCUGAAAUUUUGAUCUCAGCCUCUGUUGUAUGAUUGUUCUGUUGGAGAUGGAUUCUGCUGAGGAACCUGUAGGUAUCUCUCUUCACAACAACGUCCCCUGUCACAGUAUAAAGGCCCUCAACAACAGUGUAGCUAAAUUUUUACCAGCUUAAUUGAUGAAGAAAUUAUAAAGGAACACCUGUCCAUGAAACAGCUUUUGAGUCAAUUGCCCAAUUACAUUUGGUUCCUUGAAAAAGAGGCUGCUACAUAUUAAAGAGCUGUAAUUCCUGAACCCUACCUCCAAUUUGGAUGUGAAUACCUCAAAUUAAAGCUGAGAGACUGCACUUCAAGCACAUACUUAUUAUUUAACUGUGACCUGAAUAUAUAUUUGGUAAACAGACAAAAUAACAAAACUGUGUCCAAUUAUUUCCGGACCUAAACUGUAUGUGUUCAUCAUCUAUUGUAUUUGUGUGUCAACAUUGUGUAGAACUCAGUGAUCUGGCAUGCCUGCAAUUCUUUUAACAAAUUACAUCUCAACAAUCUCCAGAUUUUGACAGUCACAUUGUUUCGGGAUACAUUUUUUUUUUAAAGACAUUAACAUUCCCCCGAAAUUGGAAACCCUAGUUUUUUGCAUCGCACGUGAUUGAAUUACAACCCAAACUUUCGGGACAUUCCUCUUCUUUGGGGUAGCUAUGGAUUUGGUACACAAUGCCGACGGUCACGUCUGGACAGGUCAACAAAAGCAAAAGUGAUAUUUAACUGACUUGUUUUCUGUAGUCACUCAGUAGGUCCUUCACAGGAAUUAUGUUCUGACUUCUAACCUCUGGUCAAGUCCUAAUCCUGACAGUUUAAUGUGGGUCAACGGGUUAACUGUUACUGGCAGGAGGAUAGCAGCACUUUCUCUUGGACUGAUGUUGUCAGACUUGAUAGUUAGAGGUAAGUCUCUAACCCAAAAUCCCUGCAUUACAAAUAAUUCAAAUGAGAAUAUACAGUAUUUAUUACAAGUGUUUGACUAAUUGUGACACAGUUUAAAAUUAUGACUAAUUGUGACUAAUGACUCAUCAAACAUGGGUAUUCAAAUCUCCUCCAACGAGAGCCGGAGCCUGCUGGUUUUCUGUCCUACCUAAUCAUUAAUUGCCCCCAUCUGGUGUACCAGGUUUAAAUAUGUCCCUGAUUAUGUGGUUGCAAUGAAGAAAUGGAGUGGAACCGGAGGGCCAGAUCUGAAUACCUCUGAAACAGGCCAUUGCCAUGUGAUUGAGUUAAGUAGUGUCAUGACCACAGUGUUUGUAUUUUUCCAGAGAGCUAUCAGUCUGUGUGUUGGGCCUGUAUCUCACUAGGUAGUGCAGGAAAGGUCCUGUCCUGGCCCGAGGAGACAGCGACGUUUCCAUGUAACUACAGCUACGAGGACCGACAGAACAUUACCCAGCUGUCCAUACAGUGGAGAGGACCUGGAAACAAACUCCUGUGUCACUACAUCAAACACAAGGCCUUCCUGAACUGCAGCCAGGGUUACUCACUGGACUAUAAACCAAAGAAGAUCACUCUUACCAUCACAGAAGUUCGGACAGAAGACUUUGGGUCUCAUGUUUGUACCGUGAGCAAGAGACAUGAGUUCUCUGACUGUAACAUUGAGCUAGCCAUGAAAACAGAUCCGAUCACUUCCUUUCCUACAAACAGGUGGGAUCGAACAGUGCUUCCUGAACGUCAUCUUGUUGUCCUUGCCUGCUCAGUGUUUGUCAGCACCUGGGGCUUAUGGUAGAAAUAAUAAAAUAUCUAUGAAUCUAGAAAUAUGUUAUUGAACAUAACAGAUUGAUAUGUCAUGUUUCAUAAAAAUGUUAUAUUUUAAAAUGGCAAAGAAUACAAGCUUUCUACAUGUAUGCAACAGACUCAUGGGUCUAAUACUUGUGUGAAUAAAACCUAACAGAUGAGUUAGUAUUAGCACUACAAUCAUGUUGUCUGGAUUCCUCAGAAUUCUUGCCCCUGUUUGGUUUUUGCUAAGUUCAUACAUACAAUAGUUUUACAGUGUACAUUAAUAAUAGGGAUAUUUUCCUCACAAAGAUAGUAAUAACAUAAAAUAGGGCUCCUGGGUUACUUUUA
ensembl:lncRNA